ACGGAGGAUGCAAGCGUUAUUCGGAUUCAUUGGGCUUAAAGGGUGCGUAGGCGGCUCUUUAAGUCAGUGGUGAAAUCCCGUCGCUCAACGAUAGAAUUGCCAUUGAAACUGAAGAGCUUGAGUUCAGUAGAGGUAAGCGGAAUGUGUAGUGUAGCGGUGAAAUGCGUAGAUAUUACGCGGAACACCGAUGGCGAAGGCGGCUUACUAAACUGAUACUGACGCUGAUGCGCGAAAGCGUGGGGAGCGAACAG
rnacentral:rRNA from 1 species